rnacentral:rRNA from 1 species
UACGUAGGAGGCAAGCGUUGUCCGGAAUUACUGGGCGUAAAGCGCGUGUAGGUGGUGGGACAAGUCUGCUGUGAAAGCGCCUGGCUUAACCGGGCGAGGUCGGCGGAAACUGUCCGACUCGAGGACGGUAGAGGGGGGUGGAAUUCCCGGUGUAGUGGUGAAAUGCGUAGAGAUCGGGAGGAACACCUGUGGCGAAGGCGGCCCCCUGGGCCGGCCCUGACACUGAGACGCGAAGGCGUGGGGAGGCGAACGGGG